AGCGAGAUGGCGCAGCGGAAGCGUGAUGGGCUCAUAACCCAUAGGUCCGACCGAACGCUCUUUUGCCA
rnacentral:tRNA from 1 species